rnacentral:rRNA from 1 species
AUUGAACGCUGGCGGCAGGCCUAACACAUGCAAGUCGAGCGGGGUUUUCGGACCUAGCGGCGGACGGGUGAGUAGUGCGUAGGAAGCUACCCGAUAGAGGGGGAUACCAGUUGGAAACGACUGUUAAUACCGCAUAAUGUCUACGGACCAAAGUGUGGGACCUUCGGGCCACAUGCUAUCGGAUGCGCCUACGUGGGAUUAGCUAGUUGGUGAGGUAAUGGCUCACCAAGGCGACGAUCCCUAGCGGGGUUGAGAGGAUGAUCAGCCACACUGGAACUGAGACACGGUCCAGACUCCUACGGGAGGCAGCAGUGGGGAAUAUUGGACAAUGGGCGCAAGCCUGAUCCAGCCAUGCCGCGUGUGUGAAGAAGGCCUUCGGGUUGUAAAGCACUUUCAGUAGGGAGGAAGCGUUGAGUGUUAAUAGUACUCAGCGUUGACGUUACCUACAGAAGAAGCACCGGCUAACUCUGUGCCAGCCGCCGCCGUAAGAC